rnacentral:rRNA from 1 species
GAAUCCCGUCUUUGACACGGACUACCAAUGCUUUGUGAUGCGCUCUCAAAGAGUCGAGUUGUUUGGGAAUGCAGCUCAAAAUGGGUGGUAAAUUCCAUCUAAAGCUAAAUAUAGGCGAGAGACCGAUAGCGAACAAGUACCGUGAGGGAAAGAUGAAAAGCACUUUGGAAAGAGAGUUAAACAGUACGUGAAAUUGCUGAAAGGGAAACGCUUGAAGUCAGUCAUGUCUGCCAGGACUCAGCCUUGCUUUUGCUUGGUGUACUUUCUGGUCGGAUGGGCCAACAUCAAUUUUGACCGUUGGAGAAAGGCUUUGGGAAUGUGGCACCUUCGGGUGUGUUAUAGCCCUUUGUUGUAUACGACGGUUGGGAUUGAGGACUGCAGCACGCCUUUAUGGCCGGGGUCUUUACCUACGUACGUGCUUAGGAUGUUGGCAUAAUGGCUUUAAGCGACCCGUCUUGAAACACGGACCAAGGAGUCUAACAUGCCUGCGAGUGUUUGGGUGGAAAACCCAUGCGCGUAAUGAAAGUGAUGGUUGAGAUCCCUGUCAUGGGGAGCAUCGACGCCCAGACCAGACCUUUUGCGACGGAUCUGCGGUAGAGCAUGCAUGUUGGGACCCGAAAGAUGGUGAACUAUGCCUGAAUAGGGUGAAGCCAGAGGAAACUCUGGUGGAGGCUCGUAGCGAUUCUGACGUGCAAAUCGAUCGUCAAAUUUGGGUAUAGGGGCGAAAGACUAAUCGAACCAUCUAGUAGCUGGUUCCUGCC